UACGGGGGGGAGCAAGCGUUGUUCGGAUUUACUGGGCGUAAAGGGCGCGUAGGCGGUCAGCACAAGUCAGUUGUGAAAUCUCCGGGCUUAACUCGGAAAGGUCAACUGAUACUGUGCGACUAGAGUGCAGAAGGGGCAACUGGAAUUCUCGGUGUAGCGGUGAAAUGCGUAGAUAUCGAGAGGAACACCUGCGGCGAAGGCGGGUCUCUGGGCAGUAACUGACGCUGAGGAGCGAAAGCGUGGGGAGCGAACAGG
rnacentral:rRNA from 1 species